UUCCUAGGAUGACAACUUUGUCCAGUUCUGCUACUGAAUGAUAAGCGAUGAUAAUGUGGUUGCUGAGGUAG